GGGGGCUUAGCUCAGCUGGAAGAGCGCGACAUUUGCAUUGUUGAGGUCGGGGGUUCGAGUCCCCCAGCCUCCACCC
rnacentral:tRNA from 1 species